rfam:Caenorhabditis briggsae complete genome, chrI
GGGGUUGUAGCUCAGUGGUUAGAGCGCUUUUUCAAUAAAUGAUUAACCCAUGCGUUGGUUCAAAUCCGACUGACUCCA